UCAUCUUCAUUUGUUAACGGGGCGGUGCCUUCACCCAUUCAACCCACAUAUAAGGCGAUGGUAGAGAGAGGAAUGGACUAACAACGGUGGAUUGUGGUAACGGAGGAUCCGCCGCUGCUGGAGACCGUCUUGUCCAAUCUGCGACUAUUCGAGCUUGGUCUUUCUCUACAUGUCAUUGAUUUUCUUGGCCAAGCGACUAUUCAGUGGAGGCCCGCCGUUGUCGGCGGCCAUUUGAGGCCAUUUUCUAGCGGCGAUGGUUAUUUCAAGGAGGCCCAUUGUUGCGGCGGCGAUUAGAGCCCGUUUUUGGCAGGGGUGAGCUUCAGAUUUUUCCAUGGUAUGGCAGCAAGAAGAGUACUGAAGCAGAGUGCAGGAGGAAGUGGAUGGUCUGGUGGCGGUGCAAGUAGCGGAGGUGGUGGAAGUUUGGGCAAGAAAAGUAACAAUGGUUUUGGCUCAGGUGAUACCUAAGUGGUUGCAAAUGACGGAUGGGGUGGCCCUAAAAGAGUACUAAAGCGAUAGGAAAUGACGGUGGCGCCGGUUGGGAACAGAAGAAUAACGGAACUUCUGGUUCAGGUGGUGAGGACAAAGAUGCUGCUAAUAGUGGGUGGGGAGACAAUGGUUAGGAGCAGAAGGACAAGGAUGCAAAUAAUAGCGGAUAGGGUAGCAGCAAGAAAAGUUCUGCUGGUUGGUGAUGCUAAUAAAGUAAUGGCAAAAAGAAUCCUUUUAACUGAUGUGUUCUAAGUAAGGUAUUCAUAUUCUGUUUGUAUAGGCAUAAAACCCUUCUUAUUUUAUUGUGACCGUGGUUUCAAAACUUGCUACUACGACAGCAAGACAGCACAAAAGUAAGAAAUGUCCAAAAUCUUGAUUGAUUUACAUGCUCUUAUAUGGUUUUUGUG